rnacentral:piRNA from 1 species
UNCCAGCACUUUGACAGCCACUGUAGCAGGA